AAACCAAAGAUCCCACACGCGUACAGCCACAUCUUAAAAAGUGCUUCGAGGGUAUUGCUACUUUAAAUUUCACCGAAGAGUUAGAAGUUACAGCCAUGCGUUCAUCUGAACGUGAAGAGGUUAAAUUGGUUGAUGUGAUAUCAACAGCUAAAGCUCGUGGUCAAGUUGAAAAAUGGUUGCUCG
rnacentral:lncRNA from 12 species